rnacentral:misc_RNA from 1 species
AAGUCGUAACAAGGUUUCCGUAGGUGAACCUGCGGAAGGAUCAUUAAUGAAAUUUAUGACUGGGGUUGUCGCUGGCCUUUAAAAACGGCAUGUGCACGCCCCUUUCACUAAUCCACACACACCUGUGCACCUUCGCGGGGGCUCUUGGGAACCGACGCAAGUCGUAAGUACCGGAGCUCGCGUCCCUUUACACACCCCUUUGUAUGUCUUAAGAAUGUCUACUCGAUGUAAUAAAACGCAUCUAAUACAACUUUCAACAACGGAUCUCUUGGCUCUC